rnacentral:rRNA from 1 species
UGCAGUUACACCAGCUUGGGCUAGGACCCAGUCAGCUCACUGGUAAGCAGGGUCAGGUUGGGUCAGUACUUGGAUGGGGAACCACUGUGGAUUACCUAGGCACUGCAGGAU